rnacentral:rRNA from 1 species
UGGGGAAUUUUGGACAAUGGGCGAAAGCCUGAUCCAGCAAUGCCGCGUGUGUGAAGAAGGCCUUCGGGUUGUAAAGCACUUUUGUCCGGAAAGAAAUCCUUGGCUCUAAUACAGUCGGGGGAUGACGGUACCGGAAGAAUAAGCACCGGCUAACUACGUGCCAGCAGCCGCGGUAAUACGUAGGGUGCAAGCGUUAAUCGGAAUUACUGGGCGUAAAGCGUGCGCAGGCGGUUUGCUAAGACCGAUGUGAAAUCCCCGGGCUCAACCUGGGAACUGCAUUGGUGACUGGCAGGCUAGAGUAUGGCAGAGGGGGGUAGAAUUCCACGUGUAGCAGUGAAAUGCGUAGAGAUGUGGAGGAAUACCGAUGGCGAAGGCAGCCCCCUGGGCCAAUACUGACGCUCAUGCACGAAAAGCGUGGGGAGCAAAACAGGAUUAGAUACCCUGGUAGUCCACGCCCUAAACGAUGUCAACUAGUUUGUUGGGGAUUCAUUUCCUUAGUAACGUAGCUAACGCGUGAAGUUGACCG